UUGAGAGGUACAGAGAUUUGCUUUAGAAUGGUAACUGGUGGAUUGCACUGACUCUUGUGUGCUGGUAACCUGGAAGUGACAAGGAGGAAAGAGUGGGAUGGCUGACUCAGCUGUGAGAGGAGCUAAGCUCACCAACCUAAACAACAACAGUGAAGAUUAGCGAAGUGACUCCAUGAGUGUGAGGAAGCCAACUGAUGCCUGUUUAUGAAUUCCGUGCAGCUCUAAACAUGAAGGCACAGGACACAAAAGAGAUUAAACAAAAAUCUAAAUUGUGCAACUUCGAAAACACUCUCGAUCUCCAUCCCAGACAUUGGCAACUGCAUGGCCAGUUACAAGAAGAUUCACCAGACUUUGACUACAAAAUAUAUAAAUAAAGAACAGUUAUGAAGAGGAAAAAAAAAAUUGAAUUAAAAAUGAAAAUUUUGACCAUAUCAUUUUUUGUGAUAAAAUGUUUUCUGGUACCAGCCAUGGCCGUGCACUGGAUCUAUAAGAGGCUCCAUUGUGUCCUGGAUCUCAUUUUUUAUGUUCUCAAUGCCCUGUGCAGACCAACAGAUAAAAAAAUGACAUUCACUCUCCACAAUUUUAAGUAUAUUUUCUUCCCUCUCAUUACCUUGGUGAGGAUGACAGAGUAGAGGAAAAGUAAAACUCCACAGCACCCCUCCCAGGUGUGAAAGAGG